GAUUCUAGAGGAACUCACCAGGGACUAAGCCCCCCUGCUGUCUCAGGCAGCCAAGAUGAGAAUGACAGCCCUCCCAGCUCCCAGGAACAAAGCAAGCUCCCCUGGCAGCCAGAAGGAAGUUGGUUAGUACAACAUCUGCAUUAGAAAUGGCUCAGUCCUUUACCAGGCAGAGAACUGAACAGCUGUGGCUGGACGGGGCCCCGCAGGCCACUCUGGGCCGAAGCAUUUCAAGAUUUGUCAACGGUUGUCACACUCUCCCAAG
rnacentral:lncRNA from 1 species